GUGGGGAAUCUUCCGCAAUGGGCGAAAGCCUGACGGAGCAACGCCGCGUGAACGAGGAAGGUCUUCGGAUCGUAAAGUUCUGUUGCAGGGGACGAACGGCACUAUAGCCAAUAAGUAUAGUGAAUGACGGUACCCUGUUAGAAAGCCACGGCUAACUACGUGCCAGCAGCCGCGGUAAUACGUAGGCGGCAAGCGUUGUCCGGAAUCAUUGGGCGUAAAGGGAGCGCAGGCGGAACAUUAAGCGGAUCUUAAAAGUGCGGGGCUCAACCACGUGAUGGGGUCCGAACUGAGGUUCUUGAGUGCAGGAGAGGAAAGCGGAAUUCCCAGUGUAGCGGUGAAAUGCGUAGAUAUUGGGAAGAACACCAGUGGCGAAGGCGGCUUUCUGGACUGUAACUGACGCUGAGGCUCGAAAGCCAGGGUAGCGAACGGGAUUAGAUACCCGGGUAGUCC
rnacentral:rRNA from 1 species